rnacentral:rRNA from 1 species
AACGCACCUUGCGCCCUUUGGUAUUCCGAAGGGCAUGCCUGUUUGAGUGUCAUUAAAUUAUCAACCUUGCGUGCUUUUACUAGUGUCGCUUGGCUUGGAUGUGAGGGUUUUGCUGGCUUCCUUCAGUGGAUUGGUCUGCUCCCUUUAAAUGCAUUAGUGGGAUCUCUUGUGGACCGUCACUUGGUGUGAUAAUUAUCUACGCUUUGAACCGUCUGUUGGUACCUAGUCGGUCUGGCUUCCAAUCGUCUUCGGACAAUACACCAUUCAUUUUGACCUCAAAUCAGGUAGGACUACCCGCUGAACUUAA